rnacentral:lncRNA from 1 species
UAAGACUAUAUUGACAAGCCCUGUAAUCAUUUGGAAAUAUAAUGAAAUUGAACCCACACGUGUACUGACAUGCUGAUAACUUCUUAUCUGGUCACAGUAUUCACUGAACGAGGCAUAUAUCUACACUGUGAACGAGGCAUAUAUCUACACUGUGAAUGAGGCAUAUAUCUACACUGUGAACGAGGCAUAUAUCUACACUGAAUGAGGCAUAUAUCUACACUGUGAAUGAGGCAUAUCUACACUGUGAACGAGGCAUAUAUCUACACUGUGAACGAGGCAUAUAUCUACACUGUGAACGAGGCAUAUAUCUACACUGUGAACGAGGCAUAUAUCUACACUGUGAGUGUGAAAGGGUAUUGAGAU